UAGUACUACUGCUCUGUCCACUGUGA
rnacentral:piRNA from 1 species